GGGUUGUGAGGUUAAGCGACUAAGCGUACACGGUGGAUGCCCUGGCAGUCAGAGGCGAUGAAGGACGUGCUAAUCUGCGAUAAGCGCCGGUAAGGUGAUAUGAACCGUUAUAACCGGCGAUUUCCGAAUGGGGAAACCCAGUGUGAUUCGUCACACUAUCAUUAACUGAAUCCAUAGGUUAAUGAGGCGAACCGGGGGAACUGAAACAUCUAAGUACCCCGAGGAAAAGAAAUCAACCGAGAUUCCCCCAGUAGCGGCGAGCGAACGGGGAGGAGCCCAGAGCCUGAAUCAGCAUGUGUGUUAGUGGAAGCGUCUGGAAAGGCGCGCGAUACAGGGUGACAGCCCCGUACACAAAAGCGCAUGUGCUGUGAGCUCGAUGAGUAGGGCGGGACACGUGGUAUCCUGUCUGAAUAUGGGGGGACCAUCCUCCAAGGCUAAAUACUCCUGACUGACCGAUAGUGAACCAGUACCGUGAGGGAAAGGCGAAAAGAACCCCGGCGAGGGGAGUGAAAAAGAACCUGAAACCGUGUACGUACAAGCAGUGGGAGCACAGGUUUACCUGUGUGACUGCGUACCUUUUGUAUAAUGGGUCAGCGACUUAUAUUCUGUAGCAAGGUUAACCGUAUAGGGGAGCCGGAGGGAAACCGAGUCUUAA
rnacentral:rRNA from 1 species